UACGGGGGGAGCAAGCGUUGUUCGGAUUUACUGGGCGUAAAGGGCGCGUAGGCGGUCAGCACAAGUCAGUUGUGAAAUCUCCGGGCUUAACUCGGAAAGGUCAACUGAUACUGUGCGACUAGAGUGCAGAAGGGGCAACUGGAAUUCUCGGUGUAGCGGUGAAAUGCGUAGAUAUCGAGAGGAACACCAGUGGCGAAGGCGGCUCACUGGUCCGGUACUGACGCUGAGGUGCGAAAGCGUGGGGAGCAAACAGG
rnacentral:rRNA from 1 species